CCCUAACCUGUUGCUAAAUCCACAGUCUACUUCCACCCAGCUACCUCACAGUCCUGAGAUCCCAACAAGUUUCCAACCUCAGUGCAUGUUCUUCCUCCUGCCUCUCAGAUCUCUAGCUACCUCUACUUAAAUACUGCUCUUGUGGACUUGCCUGGUGUGGCGGCCUCCCAGGCAUGUGACUCUCAGCAGGUGACUUGGCUUCUCUACGUUGCUAAUGGUGCCUACUCGGCAUGUAACAGGCCUGGAUGAACGGUAGCUGCUGCGGUUACAUUAUUAGCUUCAGUUUGCCCGCCCAGGCUAGAUGUUUAAUCAGAUUUCACAGACUUCACAGUGUGAGUUGGGGAUGUGACUUCGUAUGAAAGUGAAGGAACUCAG
rnacentral:lncRNA from 1 species